rnacentral:lncRNA from 1 species
CUCAUGCGAGCAUCCAGGGAAGAGCUCCCAGCCCCUGCCUGGGGCAGCUUCUGAGAGCUUUAAGCCCUCCUUAAAGCUCUGCCUAGAGCAUCUCGAAGCUGAGGAUGGAACCACCGUGGUGCCGCUGGUGCUUGGCUGUUCUCUCCCACAAAGCAGCAGCUCACAGUGAUGCCCAUUUCAGGGUCAAGAGAGCACCUGAUGGGUACCUCUGCAUUCAAAAGAGCAGUUUGGAAGCAAGGAAUUCCUGGAGUGUACUGUACAUUUGGCUUCUUGGGUGAGUGAGCAAUGGCCUGGCAGUGCCCAACUGAAGUUGUUUAAGAAGAAUUAUUAUUAAACCAGUUUCACUGGUAGCUAUUGUUUUGUGCUUCUCCCUUAGCUAAAAAUCCCAAUGUCUUUGACUACAGCACUGGCUGAGACAGAAAAUGUGGCUCAUGGAACCCUGACCCCAUGGAACUUGGCAGAAAUCCUGUGGUGAGUCUAAGCUCCUCUCUGUGGUAGUGCAUAUUAAUUUCCAAAUAUGUAAAAAGCAGUGAUAUUGCUGAUUUCUCUCCAUACCUUCAUUUUCAGCUGCAAUUAUUCUCCAACCCUGAGCAUUUCAGCCCAAAGGGACUGACUGUAAUGAAGGCCUGUAAUGAAGGACUGUAAUUCAUAUUAAAUUAAUUACUGGAUCUCUGCCCCAUUUCAGUCUCUUGUGCUAUGUUCAUCAUCCAGAGAGACCAGCUCUCCUAAAUCCAGGCUGCAAAUUACUCUUAUCUGAGUUCCCUCUAUAAGGCAUGAAACCCCCAGCUUUCCAAGUGGUGGAGACACUUAAGUUGGAAAACCAUCUGCAGUCACAGCACCUCUCCUAGUAAAUCCUCCAACAACAUGAGCCCCAUCAUGCCUUCCAUAUCCUCACAGUAAAAAUGAAUGCUUUGCUGGACAGCAUUUUUGCCUUUCUGCACCCACAGCACACCCUCCUGCAGUGCCUGUACAGAGAGAGAUUCCUCUGCUCCAGGGGAGGAUGUUCAGGCAAGAAAAUAUUCUUAUCAAAUCAAAUGGGUUUCAAAUUCCAUCCCCUAAAAGGUAGAAAAAAGUGAAUGUU